rnacentral:lncRNA from 1 species
CUGUUAUUGCUAUUGCUAUUGCUAUUGUUAUUAUUGUUACUGUUAUUGCUAUUAUUGUUAUUGUUAUUGUUAAAUAGUGGACAUAAUUUUAUUGGGCUCAUUAAAAUUCUUCACUAAAGCUUUACAUGAUAAUUAUUAUAUGAUAAUUAUUUGAUAAAAAAAUUAUAUUAACGAAAAAAUGUAUGAUACAAAUUAAGGUACUGAGUAAGAGAACAUCAGACAUCUCAUCAGAUUUGAAUGACCUUUGAAAUAAGAUCUUUACAAAAGUGCAACUGUUUGCAGUAACUAAGGUUACCUAUUAAACAAAUUUCAAAAUUAAUUACAUUUUUGACUCUAGCAAUGUUUUGAGAGUUAACAUGAACUGUAUGCUGACAGAAGGAAAAUGAAAACAUUGUAAUUCAGAUUUUGAUACACAAAUUGGUCACAAUUGGUAACAUAUCUGAGAAGUGAAGAUUUUCCUCAGUUCCGACAGGUCUGUGCUUAAAUAACAAAACACCUAACCCUCCUGUUUGUUGACAUUUUGGCUGGACACAAUUCCUGUGGCGCUAAACUGCUACAACUACAUUAAAAAUUGUGGUGUUGGUUCUUUGGCUCAUAUCAAUGGCACAUCAUUACCAGUGCUUUCACAUGGUUGUCACUUGCAGAUGCUUAAGAAACACGGUCCUCUAGUCCAACUCUUACCAUACAAAAACCCGUAAAGUUCUAAUGGUAUCAGACCUUGUUAAAUUUGGAUGUGGAAAGGUACUGACAUAUGGCAAUUAUUUUUGUAGGGUUGCAAAUUGACUUUCAGGGUGGGGUUCCUACUUUUUUACUACAUUAAAACAAUAUGUAGAUUGAUCCUUGUGCAGAAUAUAAUUUUGUGACAAAGUCAUAUCAAGAAAUAAAGAGGUUAAAACUUAUUUAAUGUAACUAAUUAUUUCAAGUUAUACUUCAGAAAAAAGCCAAACAUUUUCCCUUUGAAUAACAGUCUCCUGAAGCAAACAUCCAAUCAGUUUAUUUAGGAUUAUGUACAUUGUACAGUCUGUUGCCUAUGUAUUUCAUUGUUUUCAGGUUUGAGGUCAUUCCUUUCAUGGCAUCAUUACUUUUGGAGAGUUGGUAGCUUUGGGAUUUGUUAACAGCUUUGAAAUUUUAUUGCUUUUUCCUGAGGGUCACCAAUUUCAUGAAAAUCUGGAACUUUCAGUAUUUUGAAAUGUUUGCCAUCUGUAGUAUACCGGUUUUUGGGUUUGUUAAAGCCGCAUUAGCUGUGUCAUAGGCUUACACUGUAACUCAAUGUUCUACCCUUGUCAUGAGAUAUGGUCUUCUCAUUAGAAAUUAAAAUGUAUUUGCUUCUUCUGCAGCUCCGCAGCUUUGAAGUCCAACAAGAAUCUAAGGCUCCCGUUGUAACAGAUUGUGUCAAUAGACAUGUAGAGGAAGAAUUAUUAGAAGAGAAGGAGAAAAGAAUAGAGGAACUAGAGAAAGAGGUACUCGAUAUAUAGAUAUAUUGCAGAUGGAGUACUGUCCAGUUUACCUAUCUUAAUGGUGUCAUCUGAUAACAAAUUCUUUUAUUAAUACAAUAAUUAUUUAAUUAACCCACACAUAGUUACAAUUGUGAAAUGAGUGAUUUUAGAAGUGGUUAAGAUAGCCCAGUACAGAUUGGCCAGCAAAACCAAUGGUUUCGCGUGUUUUAAUGUAAUGGGUAAAAUACGAUAAGAGUGUGGUGAAUUAAUUCUCAAUUGUUUUAUUUUGUGCUUUCUGAAUGCUCAGUUUUAAUAAAUCAUGAAUAAAGGGAUACCCCAUUUUAGAUAAACAAAAAGAGAGAAGCAUCAUUUACAAGAGAUUCAGUAUGGUGAUAAAAAACUAUAUGCAACAAAAAUAAACAGGUCAAAAGUCCAUGAAAAUUUGUGAGAAAAUUCAAAGAGGGACUAUUUAACAGUUAUUCCACAAGCAUGUGCUGGAUAUGAGAUGGUAGAUUAGCCUGCAAUACAGGUGGAUUAGCGGGCUCUAGCGCGAUACACGAGCAUGCGUGAAGCGCGAGAACGACCGCAAAGCGCGAGGCGAGAAAAAUCCGCCUGUAUUCACACCAUUGUUUAUCCUCUUCCAACCGUUCGCCUGGCGAACGGUUUUUGUUGAUUGGUUGCUUUAAGCCACGUGACGUCAGA